CGGUAGUACAGGUAAUAAGCUCUACUGAGUUUGCUAGAAAGUCCCUAAAUACAAAUGUUCAGAAUAGAAUUAAACAGUGCAAGUACAAAAAUAGAAGGUGACUCUGAGGCCUGCGAACGCGACAACAAGUUUACCUUGAGUCUCCACAAAAGUGCUCGACCAGCUAGCUAAUAAUCAACAACAACCGUGGCACCUGGAUCUGCACAAAAAUAUGCAGAAGCGUAGUAUGAGUAUACCACAGCGGUAUCUAGUAUGUAUCAAGACUAACCUCGGUGGAGUAGUGACGAGGGACAGCCAAGACACCUACCAGACUAAACAACUUGAACAAGUGUGAAGGUGAACUAACAAAGAAACAAUAUUAAUAUAAAGCUAAGCAGGGUGAGGAAUACAAAACAAUACUUGCAAUGGUACACUAGUAACAACAAUAAUCAACAGGAAGCAGUCAGGUAAUAAUGUUGUAAAGUAAGCUGAUCAUAGUCUAAGUUUGGUGAAACCAAAUAAAGGAAAACCAGCAAUAACUCAAUAAGAACAACCGAUUUCACACCAGAUCUGUUUAAGCAUUUCAACGAGGUACCGAACCUCAUAAUCACAACUCACGAGUCCCAAUUCAUAAACCCUAAUCACUUGGCAUCUUGUGCCCACAUUAGAACUCAUAACCGUACGGACGACUCACAUGCCAAUAGAACAAUCCUCACACAGGAGGCAAGUAGACAAGAGUACGUAUAAUGGUCAAUAACGUCAGGAUUUAUCUUCUAAAGCCGAUAUGGGUGAUUUAAUUACGUGUAUGCUUAUGCAAGUGUUCUACCACAAUUCAAGUCAACAAAUAAGAGUAGAUACAAUAAAUUGACUCAUAAGAAACGAUCACCACGAAUUUUACAGUGUAAUAAAGGUAGCAAUGAAGUUGAAGCAACGAUUAGCACAACAAGAUUAGCCACAUAGAACUAAGCAAAUAGUGCAACACGGAAGAAGAAAAUUAAUAGUAUGCUAAGAAGACAACAAUCAAAGACAGGUACAAAAGAAUGGACAAAUGACAACAAGAGCCCUACUGAGGUACCGCCUCAUAGUCUUAAAUCAUAAAAUGAAUCACAAGCUGUCCUUAUAUCACCGCGGGAGCCUUUACAUUUAGUUUUUGAAAAUCAUUUUCCCCGAAAUAGUAUUCCGCGUUUUAGACCACCUUAUCACACCGUAUGACUUCGAGUAGUUCCCCUACUAGCCACACGUUUCAAGCCCACAUUAUCUCACCGCAUGCGUUUCAACACCCGUCCCUUAACAAUAAUAACAACAGCACGACAGAAACAUCGUGCAAAUACAAUAACAACGGCACGGCAGAAACCUCAUACAACUACAAUAACAACAACACGGCAGAAAACCUCAUGCAAACAACAUAACAAUUAUCUCAACAAUAACACGUAUGCCAAAACAUAAUAAACUCAACAAAAUAACUUUCACAAUAUGUGCCCAUAUGCUACCACAUUACCUCAAAACAGUUCCAAUAUCACAACCACGAAUAGCCCUCGGCUCAACAAAACUGAAUACAACAACAACGACAAUAAUACGAGAAUACGACAAGUAAAUCAAUUCAGGAACUUCAAAACACAAAGAACGGAAGAACGAGCUCACAAAGAAAAACACAACAGGGAAUAAUGGUCUAAACAAGAAUGGCUCAACAAGGAAGAGAUAAUGUGUAGCAAUGAUUCCACAAAAGUACAAUUCAACGAUAAGAGGGAUAACAUAAAUCAAUGAUUCCAAAUAAGGAUAAAUCAAGAAUGAUAAGGGAUAACAAAAACUUCAUUUAGGGUUGAGCAUUUACGGAAAAGAUACAACAAAUUCAAUUAAGGAUAAACAAAUUAUGGAAGAUAUAAUAAUAACUUCAACUAAUGAUAGGCAAUUACGGAAGAUAUAAUGAUAACUUUAAUCAAGGAUAAACAAUUAUAGAAAGGAUAGCAUGGCAAUAAAGGAGGCAAUAACUUCAGUUAAGGCACAUAAGAGUUUAAUUGGCAAUAAGGGUAGAGCAUGAAGCAAUUAAUCCCAAAUAAGACACGUAAGAGUGAAUUUAGUAAAUGAAAAAUUUAACAUGACAAGACAACUUCAUAUUUAAUGGACAUAAGAACUUAAGAGCCCUAAAAGGUCAAAUUUCCACAAAUAAGCCCGAGCACGUACUUGUCACCUCGCGUACACGGCCUUCACAUGACACAAUUAACACCAAAGACUCAUAUAUUAAAAUGCCACACACAAAGUUAGGCAAGAUACUUAUCUUAAAGAAUCUAGAUCGAUACUUUAAAAUGACCUUCUCGAGUGAAUGAACCUCCGGCCGAGGUCAACUCAUAGGAAACAUAGGAAACAAUUUCGGAAACAUAAAUAAAACUCAUAGGAAAUAAUUUCGGAUAAUAAAGUUUCAAUCUAUAACUAAGAUUAAAAGGUCAACCCAAAAGUCAACCUCGGGCCCGCACCUCGGAACCCGAUAAAAUUCACAAAACCCGAACACCCAUUCCGAUACGAGUUCAACCAUACCAAACUUAUAAAUUUUCGACAUCAAUUUGUCCUUCAAAUCAUCAUUUUACACUUUGAAAGAUUUUACAAUUUUUUCUUCAAAUUUCCAACUUAAUUCUCUAAUUUAAUGAUGAAAAUAAAGAUAAAAGCAUGAAAUAAAAUCAUAACCAGAUAAAGAUCACUUACCCCAAACAACCACGUGAGGAACUCCUCAAAGAUCGCUCAAAUCCGAAGUCUCUAGCUCAAAAGAUGAAAAAUAGACAAAACCCACAAUUUUGGAAAUUAUAUUUUGAUGCCCAGGUAUUUACACAUCAUGAUCGCGAAGAAGGAAAUGACUACUGCCCAGAAAUUAUACUACGUGAUCGCGAACAAAUGCAUGCGAUCGCGAAGAAGGGAAUUAUUGAUGCCCCAAGAAAUGUACUACGCGAUCGCAAACCAGAACGUGCGAUCGCGAAAUAGAAAAUAUAUAAGCUGCUACGGCUGAGCUACGCGAACACGAUGAAGCGGGAUAUACACGCGAGAUCACGAGCAAUAACAUGCGAACAAAAUAACAAUAUUGCCUGCCUCCAAAAUUACACUGUGCGAACGUGAAGGCAUUGACACGAACGCGAUGAAGAAGACCAGAUGACAGAACCAACAACUCUAAAGCAUGAAAAAAAGGACCGUAGCCCAUCCGAAACACACCCGAGGCCCCCGGGCCCCCGUCGAAACAUGCCAACAAGUUUCAAUACAUAACGCGGACCUGCUCGAGGUCUCAAACAACGUCAAAACUACGAAUCGUACCACAAAUCGAACUCAUGAGUUUCCAAAUCUUCUAACUUCCAAAACUUGUGCCUAAACAUAUCAAAUCAACCCGCAAUGACGUUAAAUUUUGCAUGCAAGUCCCAAAUGACAUAACGGAGCUAAUCUAACUAUCAAAAUCUCAAUCCGAGUCCGAUAUCAACAAAGUCAACUCUCAGUCAAACCUCUCAACCUUCCAAAACUUUAACUUUUCAAUUUUUGUCGAACUACUUCAAAUUACCAUACGGACCUCCAAAUUCAAAUCUGGAUGCACGCCUAAGUCCAAAUUCACCAUACGAAACUAUUGGAAUCAUCAAAAUGCCAUUUUGGAUUCGUCUACACGAAAGACAAAUUUCGGUCAACUCUUACCGCUUAAACUUUUAAAACAAGAAUCCUUCUUCCAAAUUGACCCCGAAUCAUCCGAAAAUUGAACUCGUCCACGCACGCAAGUCAUAACACAUGAUACGAACUUUCUUAAGACCUUAAGACACCGAACGAGACACAAAUUCUCAACAAAAUAACUGGUCAGGUCGUUAUAGUUGGUAAUUUAUUAAGUUGUAAAUAGUUUUAAGGAUGAUUAAGUUGUGAAUAGUUGUUUAAAUGAUAAACUUCCACAAUAAUUCUAUAUCCAUAAAUCAUGGCCUUCACAAUAAUUUCAAAUUUGUUUAGGAAAAAUAAAUGGAAUACUCUGAAUACGCUAGUAUGCUUUAGGCGUGUAUUAACCAAUUAAUUAUCGUGAUUACGUACACGUUCAUGUGACACAGUUAUGAUUUCCCAAAUUAAAGACAAAGUAUGCAUGCGAGCGACUUUGACAAAACAGUCUUAAAAAUAAUAAAAUGUUAUUAAUUGUGUACACGUACGCGUGACAUAAUUCUUGACACACCAAACAAAAUGAAUAUAUGUAUGCAUGAUUCCUUUCAAGAUAAUUCUAUAAUUAAAAAUAAUCAAGCAAUUAAAAACGGUUUAAGGCAAAAGUGCAUAAUUUUUCCUAGAACAUAAAAUAUCAAGUAUUAGUUAAGCUAGGUAUAAUUAUUAAAGCGGCCGUGCUAGAACCACGAAACUCGGGAGUUCCUCACACCUUCUCCCGGAUUAACAGAAUUCCUUACUCGGUCUUCUAUGUUUUCGCAGACUUAAACAUAGUCAAUUUUCUUGAAUUGAGAUUUUAAAAUAAAUAGUUACUUGGGACACCGUAAAUAUUUAUUCCAAGUGGCGACUCUUUAAAAUAAAAUAAAUUAAUCCCUUUUCAAAUAAUGUCACUUAAAUUGAAAAAAAUCCUUUAUUUCCACCACUCCCCAGUAAAAAGGAGGUUUGACACUUAGGUCUUUUUUGAUGGGCCGGCAAAAUUUUAGGUAAUUCGGGUCUGGGUGACCGGGACCAUGGAGGAGGAAUGGGUUGUAGCACACGAAAAUCUGGAAAUCAUGCAGAAUUUCAGUUUAAUGGCCCUAAAACAUCAAAAAACCAGUAACGCUCAUGGCGAGGCGGUGACUAUUAUUUCUUAGGAUAUUUAUUAUGGGCCGGCAAAAUUUGAACCGAUCCUGAUCCGGGGCGCCCGGGACCAUGCAAGAGGCAAGGGCAAUAACACAGGAAAAUCUGGCCACCGGUCGCCAUUCUAGUUUUAUGACCAUAAAAUGCCAAAAAAAUGAGUAACGAUCAUGGCGAAUUAGUCACUAUUGUUCCUAAGGUCGUUUUUUAUGGGCCAGGAAAAUUUUUAGCGAUCCGGGUUCGGGCACCCGGGCUCAUGCAAGAACGUGGGCUAUAGCACACGAAAUUCUAGGUAUCAUGCAGAAUUUCAGUUUUAUGGCCCUAAAACGCCAAAACACGAAUAACGGUCAUGGUAAGGCGGCGACUAUUAUUCCUUAGGUCUUUUUUGAUGGGACGAUAAAAUAUUAGGCGAUCCGGUUCUGGGCGUCAAGGCCCAUGUAUGAGGCGUAGAUAAAAUAGCACACGAAAAUCUAUGAAAUGGGCAAAAAUCUAGUUUUAUGGCUCUAAAAUGCCAAAAAAUGAGUAACGAUCAUGGUUAGGCGGUGACUAUUGUCCUAAGGUCAUUUUUUUAUGUGCCGGCAAAAUUUUAGGUGAUUCGGGUGCCCAUGCAGGGGACGUGGUCUAUAACACACGAAAAUCUGAUAAUCAUGCAGAAUUUCAGUUUUAUGGCCCUAAAACACGAAAAAACGAGUAACGGUCACGGCGAGGCUGUGACUAUUGUUCCUUAAGUCAUUUUUUAUGGGCAGACAAAAUUUUAGGUGAUCCGGGUCCGAACGCCCGAGCCCAUGCAGGAGACAUGGGUUAUAGCACACGAAAAUCUGGGAAUCAUGAGAAAUUUUAAUUUUAUGGCCCUAAAACGCUAAAAACGAGUAGCGGUCAUGGCUAGACGGUGACUAUUGUUCCUUAGGUUAUUUUUUAUGGCCCGAAAAAAUUUCAGGCGACCCUGAUCCGGGCGCCUGGGCCCAUGCAGGAGGCAAGGGCAAUAGCACACGGAAAUCUGGUCACCGAUCGUCAUACCAGUUUUAUGACCUUUAAAUGCCAAAAAAUGAGUAACGGUCAUGGCGAUGUAGUGACUAUUGUUCCUAAGGUCGCUUUUUAUGGGGCAACAAAAAUUUUGGCUAUCCGGGUUCGGGCAGCAGGGCCCAUGCAGGAGGCAUGGGUUAUAACAUACGAAUAUCUAGGAAUCAGGCGGAAUUCUAGUUUUAUGGCCCUAAAACGCCAAAAAUGAGUAACGGUCAUGACAAUGACAAGGUGACGACUAUUGUUCCUUAGGUUAUUUUUUAUUGGCAUUCUCUCACCUUCAGACCUGACUCAUCUCUCACUUAUCUAUUCAUCUGCAUAUUCAUCUCACUCUCAUUUGGUCUCACCUUUACACACGAUUUACUCCAAUUUGUAUUAAAUAACGUGAAGGUGGCCAUUUGUGUAACAAUUGAUUCUAGUUGAAUAAUAUUCUAGCUUAGAAUUUGAGUAUCUUCAAGUAGUUUUCUCAGUAUAGUUUGUCUCUUUCAUGCUUAUAUGGUCAUGUGUUAAGAUUCAUUAUUUUGUUAUAAGAUUUUGUUAGUUUCAUUCUUAAAUUUGAAAACGAAGCUGGUUGAGAGUUGCCACGAAUUUGAUUUGAGUUGCUUUAUUAACUAAUAGGCUGUUUGGUUAGUAUUUACGGUGUUUGGGCCAUCUGUUAGUCUUAGGAAAUCAGAACGUUGAUUUGGGAUUAUAAUAGCAUGGUCUGUUAGUUUGAGCCCAUUUCAUAAAUGAAUUGAUGAGGCAAAUAAGUCAUAUGCCAGGCCCACUUCGUGAUAAUAUGCUGCUGGCCCAUCCCUUCUCCAGUUACAAAGCUAGCACACUUUACAUAUUUAAUCCACUUGAUGCUUCUCCAACAAUAAUUCCAUAAGUAUAAGCCCUUUCACAGAUAAUCUAAAACCUUAGGAUUAAACAAUUUAUAAACAUUCGUAGCUUGCUUUAGGCGUGAUCAAUAAAAUCGUCGUGAUUAUGGGUACAGAUCCCGUGGCAUAGUCAUGAUACGUAAACCUCAAUUUGAGUACGUGUUCACGCGACUUGAUCACAACUUCAAAUAAUUAGAAUAAACAUGUUUUGAAUCACAGGUACGUUUCACAGGUUCGUGAUUUGCGAUGUGUACAAAAAAAAUAAGUGCGCGACACUGCGACUUGCUUAAAUAAAUUUCAUACAUGUUUAAAAUAAUUAAAAGCGGUAUUGAAGCGGUAACACAUAAAAGGUUUUAAACAAAUAAUAAUUCAGAUAAUUAAGCCAAGUAUUAAUUGUUAAGCGACCGUACUAAAACCACGAAAUUCGGGAGUGCCUCACACCUUCUCUCGGGUUAACAAAAUUUCUUACCCGGUUUUAUGUGUUCGCGAAUCAUAAAUAGAGUCAAUUUUCUCGAUUUGGGAUUUUAAAAUAAACUGGUGACUUAGGACACCACAAUAACCAUUCCAAAUGGCGACUCUAAAUAAAUAAAUAAUCCAAUUUCGAACAAUGUCACUUUAAUUGGAAAAACUCCUUAUCUUCGGAAAAAUAAGGUGUGACAGAACUAUUUACAGCAAUAUGUUUUCUUGCACGAACAACUAGGGAUGGCAUUCGGUACUUCAGUUUGGUAUUUAAGAAUUUCGAUUCGGUAUUUUGGUAUUCGGUUUAUCAAUUGUGUAUACCAAAUACCGUACCAAAGUAGUUCGGUACGGUUCGAUAUUUCUUAUUUUAGUUCGGUACGAUUUCGGUUUGAUACAUUAACGGAAUAGAUGAUAUAAAUGGAGUGGACAGUGGACUGGACACGAUGUACGAAGCUAGCUGCUUGACAAUACGUGAAUAAACAUCAUUUGAAUAAGGUAGCAGCUUGUAUGAAUAAGCUAGCAACCUGCUAAAGUGUACAAAGCAACUUUAACAGAAUUCAAGUAUACCAAGCAACUAGUCAACUAACGAGGCUAACAACAACAAGCAUCAACAGAAUUAAAGUACAUUAAACAAUAAACACAUAAAUCAGCAGCAGAAAGUACAUUAAACAAUAAACAUAAUAAACAUAAUUGUCCAUUCAAGCACUUAUUCAAACGAGUAACAGAAUACAACACAACAACAACAUCUGUCAUCUAACAAGCAUCAAUAGAAAUCAGAAUUAAACAAUAAUAAGAUGCAACAAGAACAGAGAGGGCAUACACCUGCUACUGAGGUCGUGAAGUCGUUGUCGCCCUCUGUUAUUAUAGUCGUGAAUCAGCAGCAGCCAAGCAAUGUUGCAAUUUUUUAGAGAAGUCUAGGGUUAGAAAAUAUGAAAGGGAAAUGGGGUAAGCAGAAGAAGCUACUGCCCGUAAGUAUGAUGUCUCUAAGCCUAAAGAGGCCGCUAGGAGCGCUAAGGGAUCAGGGAAUUUGGGGGCUUGGGUGUUGGGUUUAGGCUUAU
rnacentral:lncRNA from 1 species